GGGCGGGGGCGGCGUGUUUGCACCGCGGCUGGACGGAGCUUCUAACAUUCUAAACUCUUCUAUUUCGGUAAAUUAGAAGUAAUGCUUCAUUUACGUGUACUGCGCACGUGCAGGCACAUGCUCAGAUGGCCCUCAGCCGUUGAGCCAGAGGUCUGCUGUGAGUUCUUUCAGCCUCCCAGCCUGAGACAGUUUUGUGGUCGCUGAUGUGAUUGAGCCAGGAGUGCUGCUCGCUGUCUUCCUGUGCCAGGCUGAGGGAGGAAGGUGGGAGAAAGGAAGAAAGAAAGGAAGAGGAGGGAGCGCAGCAUCCCAAUGGCUUUGCUGGGAAGGAAGCCUGAUCACAGCAGAGUGAGUCUGCCUGCGUCAGCAGAAGAGCUGCCUUCGUGGAGGUGCAGAUGCAGCCGGCCGUUGUGGAAUUCAUCUUGAACCACUCAGAUGUCCUCUUCCGCUCCAAAUCCAGCCCGCUCAUGGGAGAUGGAGCGAGACGCAGUUCUUUAUUAUGGCCCCGUGGGCUUCUUCUCC